rnacentral:misc_RNA from 1 species
GAUGAAGAACGCAGCGAAAUGCGAAAAGUAGUGUGAAUUGCAGAAUUCAGUGAAUCAUCGAAUCUUUGAACGCACAUUGCGCCCCUUGGUAUUCCAUGGGGCAUGCCUGUUCGAGCGUCAUUUGUACCCUCAAGCUCUGCUUGGUGUUGGGUGUUUGUCUCGCCUCUGCGCGUAGACUCGCCUCAAAACAAUUGGCAGCCGGCGUAUUGAUUUCGGAGCGCAGUACAUCUCGCGCCUUGCACUCAUAACGACGACGUCCAAAAGUACAUUUUUACACUCUUGACCUCGGAUCAGGUAGGGAUACCCGCUGAACUUAAGCAUAUCAAUAAGCGGAGGA